AGAUGAUUGAGAGAAUGCAGAGAAAAUGUUGGAAUCUCCUCCUAUGCAUGAGUCAGAGAGGAAAUUGCUACCAUCUUCAAGGUCUACUGAGGAAGCACAUACUGAAUGCUGGAAGCACCAGGGGAGAUCCCCAGCUGUUCUUGUCAGAGCAACCCUGAAAGCAAGAUCAGAAUGGCUGCUCCAAGAGACUGGACAAGGCCACAAAGCAUACAGAGAAAACAAGGGAAAUACAGAUUUCUCUCUAGGCCAGAAUCCUAACAAGGUAGCCCAGUGAAUCCUUGAAAAACAACC
rnacentral:lncRNA from 1 species